GACUCUAUAAUGUAGUGGUAGCGUGCCCUUCCGGUGAAUGGAAGACGUCGGUUCAAAUCCUACUGGCGUCU
rfam:Oryctes borbonicus contig6859, whole genome shotgun sequence.